UGGUGGACCACCCAAAACUGCUGCCUUCAGUUGCCAGGACUUCCCCAAACCACUGGGCUACAGUCAUAUGUACCACUGGGCAACACUGACUGUAGAGGAAUGUAGCCCAGUGGUUUGGGGAAGUCCUGGCAACUGAAGGCAGCAGUUUUGGGUGGUCCAGGG